GAUGAACGCUGGCGGCGUGCCUAAUACAUGCAAGUCGAGCGAACAGAUGAGGAGCUUGCUCCCCUGACGUUAGCGGCGGACGGGUGAGUAACACGUGGAUAACCUACCUAUUAGACUGGGAUAACUUCGGGAAACCGGAUCUUAUACCGGCUAAUAUAUUGAACCGCAUGGUUCAAUAGUGGAAGACGGUUUUGCUGUCACUUAUAGAAGUAUCCGCGCCGCAUUAGCUAGUUGGUAAGGUAACGGCUUACCAAGGAAACGAUCCGUACCCGACCUGAGGGGGUGAUCGGCCACACUGGAACUGAGACACGGUCCAGACUCCUACGGGAGGCAGCAGUAGGGAAUCUUGCGCAAUGGGCGAAAGCCUGACGGAGCAACGCCGCGUGAGUGAUGAAGGUCUUCGGGUCGUAAAACUCUGUUAUUAGGGAAGAACAGAUGUGUAAGUAACUAUGCACGUCUUGACGGUACCUAAUCAGAAAGCCACGGCUAACUACGUG
rnacentral:rRNA from 1 species